AACGCACCUUGCGCUCCUUGGUAUUCCGAGGAGCAUGCCUGUUUGAGUGUCAUUAAAUUCUCAACCCCUCCAGCUUUUGCGAGUUGUGAUGGGGCUUGGAUAUGGGAGUUUGCAGGUCUUUAUCAAUAAAGGUCAGCUCUCCUGAAAUGCAUUAGCGGAACCGUUUGCAGUCCCGUCACUAGUGUGAUAAUUAUCUACACUGUGAUGAUUGCUCUCUGACUAGUUCAGCUGCUAAUCGUCCAUUACGGACAACACUUAAUGAACUUCUUGACCUCAAAUCAGGUAGGACUACCCGCUGAACUUAA
rnacentral:misc_RNA from 1 species